GUACCCAGGAUAUAACCGCCUCUCCACUAAUACCACAUCAGCAACCAGGAAAUAUUAUCAGGACUUGGUGAGAUAGAAAGGCUAUCCAGCGUUAUGAUGUAGUUAGAGAACUUAUGUCUAGCUUCCGUCUUAUCAGGGUUUAACAGAAGAAAGUUGGCCUUUUUUUGGCCAUUUUUGAUGUCUUCAUAGCAAAUAUUGGCCAUACCUCCAGAGAGUGUCAAGAAGUUGCCCAGAGCUCCAGCCCCAUGACGCCUCAUGACUUCAAAUGUCAAUAUUCUAAACAGGUUAAAUGAAGGGGUGCAUAUCAGGAGGGGGCUGGAUUGACAGUAGGGGAGGAGGUGGACCAGGGGAAUGCCUCUCUCAUAUAGCAGUGACCACAAAACAUGUCAAAAGCAGGCCAUACAGACAUGCUGACCCUCAUGACCAUGCUUUGGAAUCAGCAAAAGAUGAACAAUUUGGCUACCUCACUGUGUCUCAGACAUCUGAAAGUAAUUGCACUUUGCAUUAAUCAUAAUAGAAAUUGCAUUCAUCUUUGUGCUUUGAACAUUUAUUUAAUUGUAUUUAAAGACCACAAAAGUUCUGGCAAACCAGCUGCAGAAUCUGGAGUCCCUGAAGGCAGAGUUGGCAGUGACUGACAGCCAGGUGGAAGAGUAGGUCAGUGAGUGGGCAGAGGGUGAGGCUUCUGAGCAGACUUUUAUGUAGAUGUUAUGAACUGCUGGUAACAUUCUGUAUUGCCUGGUUUAUUCAGAUGCACUGAGGAUAUAUUCUGAUGCAUUGCACUCCCUGCAUGGCAUAUUUAGUCAUUUUCUUAAUAAGUUCCCACUUAUUCUAACCUAUUUUGUUAUAAUGCUAAAUCAAUGAUGUAUAACGAUUAGAACGUGCACUCCUGUUACAAAAGGCAACAUAAAUGUUUCCUCUUCACAGUAACCUCCACCCACACUAAUGAAGCUGCUGCCUUGGCUAACAGAAUUGAGGUGCUGGUUGCGAGCAUCAAGAGACGUUUACAGCAACUUUAUAAAGACUCAGACAGCAACUAAAGUCGAGCCAGAGUCUGCUGCAAAAUUAGGGAGGAGAAAGGAAUCCUGACCUCUUUUGUUGAAAUAUACAUAACAGAUUGGUUCAAAGCACAGAGGGUCUGUUCUUGGAAACCAUCCUGUCUGAACUAACAGGAUGGCCAUGGCAGCUGCCACACAGGGGUAGGUACAGUAGUCACUUCCUACGUAUCACAUCUGAAGUGAUUCUCUGUUAGACUUCAUAUAUUCUUGAAAUGUUGAUCUUUCUACGAGAUUAAUUGUACUUUUGUCAUAAAUGCUUUCCAGAAUCUGUCAACCUCAGAACAAAGAGAAGAUCUGAUGUUUUAAUGGCAUUCAACUCCCUUUCAAUUCCUUUCAAGAGUUCUCCAGCUAGAUUACAACUACAGCAUUGCAAAGUAUGUACUUAUAAUAUUAUGUUAGAUUAAUUUACAUGUCAUGUUGAUGGUGAAGUUACUGAAAUUGGUUUUAUCCCGUUAUCCCAAGAUUCACCUUGGGGAUUAAGUGAAGACUGUUUAAAUCCGAGAAAUGAUGGUAAUUGUGAGACAGAAGUACCUGCAAGUUUUGACUGGAGUUGUGCAAAGUGUUUCAGAUGAAUAUUCUA
rnacentral:lncRNA from 1 species